rnacentral:lncRNA from 1 species
UAAAUUUUGAUUUUUUGAAAAAUAUAAAUGCAUAAUAUAACAAUAUUUAUAUGGACCAUACCUUAUUACAUAUAUACAUAUAAUAGAACUUCAAAUCUAUUAACAAUUAUUGCUUGCUAAACUGUCUACAAAUUGUUAGCUGUUUUUGAUUUUGGCAUAUUUAACAAAAUAUUGAUAUGCAAUGAUGUUUCAUUCAAAACUUAAAAGUUUUAUUUUAAGAAACUGAUUUGAUCUCAACUAAAUAUGCUAAAUAUGAAAUAUUAUAAUAUAACAUAUUCCUAUAAACAAACGUAACUUCAU